rnacentral:rRNA from 1 species
GAUGAACGCUGGCGGCGUGCCUAAUACAUGCAAGUCGAGCGAAUGGAUUAAGAGCUUGCUCUUAUGAAGUUAGCGGCGGACGGGUGAGUAACACGUGGGGAACCUGCCCAUAAGACUGGGAUAACUCCGGGAAACCGGGGCUAAUACCGGAUAACAUUUUGAACCGCAUGGUUCGAAAUUGAAAGGCGGCUUCGGCUGUCACUUAUGGAUGGACCCGCGUCGCAUUAGCUAGUUGGUGAGGUAACGGCUCACCAAGGCAACGAUGUGUAGCCGACCUGAGAGGGUGAUCGGCCACACUGGGACUGAGACACGGCCCAGACUCCUACGGGAGGCAGCAGUAGGGAAUCUUCCGCAAUGGACGAAAGUCUGACGGAGCAACGCCGCGUGAGUGAUGAAGGCUUUCGGGUCGUAAAACUCUGUUGUUAGGGAAGAACAAGUGCUAGUUGAAUAAGCUGGCACCUUGACGGUACCUAACCAGAAAGCCACGGCUAACUACGUGCCAGCCGCCGCUGUAA